rnacentral:lncRNA from 1 species
CCACUGGGCAUAUUACUUACUUUCAUGAAGGCCCUGAUACUUAAGAUGGUCUUCAAUUAUUUAAAGGCUGAAAGAACUCUAGGUGAAGACUAUUAUUCUCCACAUUAUACAACUGAGGAAACUGAAGCACUAAGAAAGUAAGUUACCUGGGUAAUAAAUGGAAGACCUGGGAGGUCAGCCCAGAUCUGCCUGAUUCUACAGCCCAGUCUCUACACCAUGAUGAUAUUUGUCAAAAUGGAACUCAACCCUUCAACUGAAGCAUGCAUAAUGUGUGCAGGUGGUGGUGGUGGUGGUGGUGAGGACACUGUUUUUAUAGUAGCCUCUAACAUGCAUGAGGGGGCAGGCAGACUGCUUGUCUUAUUCACCAUGGAUCCUCAUCACUUAGCACAAGGGCUUGGCACAAAGUAGGAGAUCAACAAAUGUGUGCUGAGGAGAGGGAGGAAGAAAGCAAGAAACGAAGAAAGGAAGGCAGGCAAGCUCUCCAAAGGAAAACAGUGUUUGAUAAAAAUCAGUGUUGGGUAAAAAGCAGAUAGCAAUACAUAACUGUCUGAAGCUCAAUUCCUGGAUCUGAAUGCUAUGGCCCUUUAAGAAACAAGGAAGCAGUUUUUCAGUAGUUCAGAGUAAUGAACAAGAUGGGGAGCAAACUAUUAAUCAAAUGGUAGACUACUCAGAUCAAUCAGAUCAGCCCACAUACAAACAGGCAAGAAAUGCUCAGAGAGCCAAACCCCAGAGAAGCAGAAGGCAGAUUUUCAUUCCAGAAGAUUCCAAGAGUGGGGCUGGGCAGAUGACCACUGGCAGGGGGACACUGGGAGCAACCCCAAAGACUAGUAAGUAAUCAGGAGGGCAUCUUUCAGGUAGCAGGCAUUCUGGAGAAAUUUCUUUUUGCUAAAACCUAACAAGGCUCAUAAGGCCAGCCCUCAAAGUAUGGCGAAGAAUGCAUUCUACACCAAGAAUGACUUAUCAUUCAUUACACUGUUCAUUGCAUGUCUACCACACUGGAUGCUGGGGACAGAGUAAUGAACAAAGACAACGUUCCUACUCUUAGGCAGCUUACAACAAAUCGGCAAAUAUGCAUGAGAAAUAUCAGGAAAUAAGUGCUAUGCAGAGAAUAAAAAUAGAGUCCUAUAGCACUCUUGGAGCUUACAGCAAAUCAACAAGUAACCAUGAGAAAUCUCAGGAUGGGAAGAGGCAUCUGCAGAGAAACCAUGCUACUCACUUUAAAAUAACACAGAAGAAAAACAAGAAGUCAUUCUGAGUUUUCUCAGUAAAGCCAAAAGCUACAAUCUCUUCUUCUUCCUGGAAUUUAUAGACAUAGUUUUCCUUUCAGAAUGCUGAAAGAAGUGUGAUUGAGUUAGACUGUAACAGCUCAAAUCAUUAUAAAACAGAGCAAGAGCAACAAAUAGAAAAAAGUGAAGAAAUCCCUAUCGACAGUGUUAAGGAUGGAUUCUGCAAGCCUCGGUCAUUCUGGCAACUAACCGACUUUCCCAGCCAGUCUAGAUGCCCCAGAGACCCUGUUAGCUUCAAGGAAAGGUGAAAAUCAGAAACUCAGCCAGGAUAGUCCUUGUGUUACAUCAGGGCCUGAGGGGCCUCAUGAGCUCACUCACAGGAGGAUAGGGUGGUGGUGGUCCUGUGAAGGCUUGGCAGCUCUGAGGGGCAAAAACACAGUGCUGAGCCAAGGCCAAAAUGGGGGUGGGGGCAGGGGGCACUGGUUGAUUCCACAUCAGCCUUGGCAUCCCUGGAAGCCAUGUACAGUGGCCAGGACAACAAAAGUAGUGCCUACAGCACUCAGACAAUGGCCUUGCUCUCUCACCAAAGGGGAAAAUAUACAACCCCAAAACCCCACUCCCCAUCUUCUCCCUGCCCACUCAACAAGGAAAAGUGGAGGUGGGGCGCACAUUAGAUGCUGUGUCACAGUUAUGCCAUGUCUUCUGGCACAGGCGGCGUUUUACUGAAGGGGGAGGCAUGCACAGUGCAAACCUUUUUUAGCCCCCAAAGAAGAACUAUGUCACAGUUAAGCAAGGAGGCCGGAUUUAUUCUGUGGGCACUGCAGAGGGGCUGCAGGUUUUUAAAAGGGCUAGGAUCAGACCCACGCUUCGCAAGAGAAAGACUAUUGGCGAAGGGUCUCAGGAUACAUAGAGAAAACUGAACAAGAAGGCAAAGUAUCUGGAAACAGUGAAAAAUGAGGAAUAGCCAAAAGGACUGGGGAAGAAAAGAAAACUUAGGGGACACAAAAUAAUCCUUUUCACGUAUUUCAAGGGCUCAUCUUUGGAAGACGGUUUUACAUUUCUCUACAAGGAAAGAAUUCAAAUAGAAGCUCAAGGGGGCAGGGAUAGAUUUCACCUGAAGACUAAACAAAAGUACUUUCUGAUGACUAAUGCUGUGCAAAAAUAGAGCAGGUUACCCAUGAAAGCAGUGAGUCACUGGCGGUAUUCAUGUACCAUCCAGAUUGCAUAGCCAUGAAGAUCCCAGGCCAUUUUAAGCCCUAUUAUUUAUUGCUUUUCUUCUGUCAUCCCUAAGGCCCUUCUAAGUCUAUCCAAGUCCUACUCCUCCUUAAAAACCCAAUUCAAGUUCCAUCUCCAACUUGCUGCAUGCUUUUCCACAACCAUCUCUCUCUUUUCCAAAUAAAGCACUUAUUACCAGUACCAAUUAUCUGGAAGA